rnacentral:rRNA from 1 species
CACGUAGGGCGCAAGCGUUGUCCGGAAUUAUUGGGCGUAAAGAGCGUGUAGGCGGCCAUGUAGGUCCGUUGUGAAAACUCGAGGCUCAACCUCGAGACGCCGAUGGAAACCAUGUGGCUAGAGUCCGGAAGAGGAGAGUGGAAUUCCUGGUGUAGCGGUGAAAUGCGCAGAUAUCAGGAGGAACACCGACGGCGAAGGCAGCACUCCGGGCCGGUACUGACGCUGAGGAGCGAAAGCAUGGGGAGCGAACAGG